rnacentral:rRNA from 1 species
CCUACGGGUGACUGCAGUGAGGAAUAUUGGUCAAUGGUCGCGAGCCUGAACCAGCCAAGUAGCGUGAAGGAGGACUGCCCUACGGGUUGUAAACUUCUUUUAUCAGGGAAUAAAGUGAGGCACGUGUGCCUUUUUGUAUGUACUUUAUGAAAAAGGAUCGGCUAACUCCGUGCCAGCAGCCGCGGUAAUACGGAGGAUCCGAGCGGUAUCCGGAUUUAUUGGGUUUAAAGGGAGCGUAGAUGGGUUGUUAAGUCAGUUGGGAAAGUUUGCGGCUCAACCGUAAAACUGCAAUUGAUACUGGCAGCCUUGAGUACAGUUGAGGUAGGCGGAAUUCGUGGUGUAGCGGUGAAAUGCUUAGAUAUCACGAAGAACUCCGAUUGCGAAGGCAGCUUACUAAACUGCCACUGACAUUGAUGCUCGAAAGUGUGGGUAUCAAACAGGAUUAGAUACCCCAGUAGUC